GUCCACGCCGUAAACGAUGUCGACUAGCCGUUGGGAAACUUGCUUUCUCAGUGGCGUAGCUAACGCGCUAAGUCGACCGCCUGGGGAGUACGGCCGCAAGGUUAAAACUCAAAUGAAUUGACGGGGACCCGCACAAGCGGUGGAGUAUGUGGUUUAAUUCGACGCAACGCGAAGAACCUUACCUGCUCUUGACAUGUCGAGAACUUUCCAGAGAUGGAUUGGUGCCUUCGGGAACUCGAACACAGGUGCUGCAUGGCUGUCGU
rnacentral:rRNA from 1 species